AAGUCGUAACAAGGUUUCCGUAGGUGAACCUGCGGAAGGAUCAUUUCUGAACUAAGGGAUUAAGUUUGACAAAUUAAAAAAGGGGGUUUCCUCUUUUUUUCUUUUGAAAAAGUUUUUUUCCCUUAUCAAAGAGAGUGUGUGGUAUAAAUGAAAAGGAAAAAAAUAAGAAAGAGAUGGCGAGUUACUUUAUUGUACUCGUUGUUUCUUUUGCUUUUUCUUCCUAAUCUUACAUUAACCAAAACAAGUUACUUUUAUUGUUCAAAAACAAAAACUAUUUUGUCUUUUUUUUUCUUUUCUUUCGUGCAAAUGAAAGAUUUUUUAAAAAGAAGCAAAGUAACAAAAAAAUGACAUACAACUGUCAACGGUGGAUCUCUUGGCUCGU
rnacentral:misc_RNA from 1 species